rnacentral:rRNA from 1 species
AAUGAACGCUGGCGGCAGGCCUAAAACAUGCAAGUCGAACGCCCUAGCAAUAGGGAGUGGCGCACGGGUGAGUAACAUGUGGGAAUAUGCCUUUUGGUACGGAACAACGUUUGGAAACGAACGCUAAUACCGUAUGGUCCCUCCGGGGUAAAGAUUUAUCGCCAAAAGAUUAGCCCGCACUAGAUUAGCUAGUUGGUAAGGUAAUGGCUUACCAAGGCGACGAUCUAUGGCUGUUCUGAGAGGAAGAUCAGCCACACUGGGACUGAGACACGGCCCAGACUCCUACGGGAGGCAGCAGUUAGGAAUAUUGGACAGUGGGCGCAAGCCUGAUCCAGCCAUGCCGCGUGAGUGAUGAAGGCCUUCGGGUUGUAAAGCUCUUUAGCCGACGAAUAUAAUGACUGUAGUCGGAGAAUAAGCCCCGGCUAACUUCGUGCCAGCAGCCGCAGUAAAAC